UCACCACUCUGGCCUUUUGGCUUAGAUCAAGUGUAGUAUCUGUUCUUAAUAGUUUAACCACUAUUAUGAGGGCACCGCCCUCAUUCUUGGUUAUCUANCGAGCUCUGCUUGCAACUCGGGGGCACGAUGACCUUGCCACUGCAGUAUCGGCUUGCGUCGUCGGGGGAUC
rnacentral:snRNA from 1 species